UCCCUGGUGGUCCAGUGGUUAAGACUCUGCACUUCUAAUGCAGGGGGCAAGGAUUCGAUUCCUGGUUAGGGAA